UACGUAGGGGGCUAGCGUUGUCCGGAAUCAUUGGGCGUAAAGAGCGUGUAGGCGGUCCGGUAAGUCCGUUGUGAAAGUCAGGGGCUCAACCCUUGAAUGCCGGCGGAUACUGUCGGGCUAGAGUCCGGAAGAGGCGAGUGGAAUUCCCGGUGUAGCGGUGAAAUGCGCAGAUAUCGGGAGGAACACCAGUGGCGAAGGCGGCGACCUGGGCCAAUACUGACGCUGAGGUGCGAAAGCGUGGGGAGCAAACAGG
rnacentral:rRNA from 1 species